AGCGUUGUUCGGAAUUACUGGGCGUAAAGGGCUCGUAGGCGGCCAACUAAGUCAGACGUGAAAUCCCUCGGCUUAACCGGGGAACUGCGUCUGAUACUGGAUGGCUUGAGGUUGGGAGAGGGAUGCGGAAUUCCAGGUGUAGCGGUGAAAUGCGUAGAUAUCUGGAGGAACACCGGUGGCGAAGGCGGCAUCCUGGACCAAUUCUGACGCUGAGGAGCGAAAGCCAGGGGAGCAAACAGG
rnacentral:rRNA from 1 species